AUGAUGUGUAAAUUGUUUCCAAAUAAAGAUGACUCUCCUUGCACACCAUUAAUUGAAUUAACUAAUUAUUAUCCCACAUGAUUCCCUCCAGCUGAAAAGCAAACAAGUCCAUAGUGACUGAAGUCCACAAUUACUUCUCAUUGUUAUUUGGUCAAACGCCAUUCUGCUGAUAUUAUUAAUACAGCAGUUACAGCAAGUGUUUCUUUCUUUCUUAUUUUUUAAUUUAGAGUGCUCAAUUAUUUUAACCCCGUUUUGCUCUGAAUUUUGAAUGUCCAAUUGCACCUCCUCACCACAGCUAUUGUCACAGGUAGCUCAGGUAAGUGUAUAACACUGCUAGCCCCAAUGACUAACCCUUUCCUGUUGAGGUUCGUUUGGAAUUCCAGUGGACCACCCUUGACCCCAACCAGGAUGAACAGAGACAACAGCCAAGACUUCCAGUUCCCAUGAUGACCACGGACCGACUCCCCUCCGUCGACAACAUUGUGGUGACCCCAUUUGGUGAAGGGAGGAAAAGAGAAGAGGGACCAGUGCUCGAGUCCUGGUCAUGGACUCACGUCAACCUCUCUGUGUGCUCAUUGGAAAAGACAAUAACGGUCGAAAAAGUCCCCUGGGUCAACAUCGUCAAUACCUUUUAGAAUUUUGAAUGCUUGAAUCAGAUCAACACGUAGUUUUCUUUGUUCAAGACUGAAUAGAUUCAAUUAUUUUAGCCUGUCUGCAUACGACGUGCCUUUUAAACCCAGGAUAAUUCUGGUAGUUCUUCUUUGCACUCUUUCUAGAGCAGCAAUAUUCUUUUUGUAAAGAGGUGACCAGAACUGAACACACUAUUCUAGAUGAGGUCUUACUAAUGCAUUGUAAAGUUUUAACAUUACUUCCCUUGAUUUGAAAUUCAACACAUUUUAAUAUAUAUCCGAGCAUCUUGUUGGCCUUUUUUAUAGCUUCCCCACAUUGUCUAGAUGAAGACAUUUCUAAGUCAACAUAAACUCCUAGGUCUUUUUCAUAGGUUCCUUCUUCAAUUUCAGUAUCUCCCAUAUGAUAUUUAAAUUCAACACUUCUCACAAUAUAUCCGAGCAUCUUGUUGGCCUUUUUUAUAGCUUCCCCACAUUGUCUAGAUGAAGACAUUUCGGAGUCAACAUAGAUUAUUUGUCUAUUAUUUGUUCAAUCUAUCUGUUCUACUCCACCAAACUUUCAUUUGCCACUGCACCGCUGAUUGUAAUGUCUGAUAAAAAGCGUAGUGGGAUACUGUCCUACUUUUCUGUGACAAGAAGCUUGAAAACAACUGUGACAGGUAAGUUAAAUUUCCAUAUUUCCACAUAAGUGUACAAUACUGUAUUUAUUAACAAAUACAUAAAAACAUCAGGGGUGUAACUGUUACAGUAUGUACACUUCAGCAGUGUAUGGCAUGUGCAUGUUUGUUAGAAAAAUUCAUGAACACCUUUUAUUUUUAGUUAAUAUAUGUUUGAAACACUAGUCUUACCAUAUAUUAAAGUUAAGAAAAGUAUCAUUUAUUUUGGGUUCGUGACCACUGAUUUACUGUAUAUACGCAAUAUUUAGAAAUUACAAAAGCAAAUGUAAAAAAACAUAAAAUAUAAAUGUAUUUAACUUUUACUCAUUAUAUGCUGUCGAAAGAGGGAUAUGAUUUUUGUUUUUAUGCUAGUAUGUGCUGACCGUGAUUUACAGUUACAGUCGCUUCCACAUAUGCUUCAAGUUCAAGUUAUCUGCUUGUGCCGGGUCCGGGGUUUCGUGCCUAGUAAUUGUUGGUAGCUGCAUGCAGACAUCUGCCUAGCCAUGUUAGGCCUAUAUAAUCUUCAAUUUUGAAUAAUACCAGUUUUUUUUUUUAAUUCAAUAAAACGUUUUACGUUGUAUGACGAGAUAAGAUAGUAAAUGUGAAUUUAUUGAUAAGAAACAUAAGUUACAAAUUACAGUUGGAACCCUAGUUAGACAAGCUGUUAAGAAAGACGUGGUACUGUAUUAUCGCUUAUUUAAUUUCAAAUGUCAUAAACUAUGUUCGUUGUUGUUUUGGGGGAAGUAUCCACACAAAUGUAAGCGUAAAACUGUAGGACCAAC